UACGGAGGGGGCUAGCGUUGUUCGGAAUUACUGGGCGUAAAGCGCACGUAGGCGGCUUUGUAAGUAAGAGGUGAAAGCCCAGAGCUCAACUCUGGAAUUGCCUUUUAGACUGCAUCGCUUGAAUCAUGGAGAGGUCAGUGGAAUUCCGAGUGUAGAAGUGAAAUUCGUAGAUAUUCGGAAGAACACCAGUGGCGAAGGCGGCUGACUGGACAUGUAUUGACGCUGAGGUGCGAAAGCGUGGGGAGCAAACAGG
rnacentral:rRNA from 1 species